rnacentral:rRNA from 1 species
GGGCGAACGCUGGCGGCGUGCUUAACACAUGCAAGUCGAACGGAAAGGCCCUGCUUUUGUGGGGUGCUCGAGUGGCGAACGGGUGAGUAACACGUGAGUAACCUGCCCUUGACUUUGGGAUAACUUCAGGAAACUGGGGCUAAUACCGGAUAGGAGCUCCUGCUGCAUGGUGGGGGUUGGAAAGUUUCGGCGGUUGGGGAUGGACUCGCGGCUUAUCAGCUUGUUGGUGGGGUAGUGGCUUACCAAGGCUUUGACGGGUAGCCGGCCUGAGAGGGUGACCGGCCACAUUGGGACUGAGAUACGGCCCAGACUCCUACGGGAGGCAGCAGUGGGGAAUAUUGCACAAUGGGCGGAAGCCUGAUGCAGCAACGCCGCGUGCGGGAUGACGGCCUUCGGGUUGUAAACCGCUUUCGCCUGUGACGAAGCGUGAGUGACGGUAAUGGGUAAAGAAGCACCGGCUAACUACGUG